AACCAGCACCUCAAGUGGUCAGGAUGAUUAUUGGGCCUAAAGCAUCCGUAGCCUGUUCUGUAAGUUUUCGGUUAAAUCUAUGCGCUCAACGUAUAGGCUGCCGAAAAUACUGCAGAACUAGGGAGUGGGAGAGGUAGACGGUACUCGGUAGGAAGGGGUAAAAUCCUUUGAUCUAUUGAUGACCACCUGUGGCGAAGGCGGUCUACCAGAACACGUUCGACGGUGAGGGAUGAAAGCUGGGGGGCACGAACCG
rnacentral:rRNA from 1 species